ACGAACGCUGGCGGCGUGCUUAACACAUGCAAGUCGAACGGUAAGGCCCUUCGGGGUACACGAGUGGCGAACGGGUGAGUAACGCGUGAGUAACCUGCCCUUGACUCUGGGAUAACAGAUGGAAACGUCUGCUAAUACCGGAUACUCAGCCUUGUGGGCAUCCACAGGGUUGGAAAGCUCCGGCGGUCAAGGAUGGACUCGCGUCCUAUCAGCUAGUUGGUGGGGUAAUGGCCUACCAAGGCGACGACGGGUAGCCGGCCUGAGAGGGCGACCGGCCACAUUGGGACUGAGAUACGGCCCAGACUCCUACGGGAGGCAGCAGUGGGAAUAUUGCACAAUGGGCGCAAGCCUGAUGCAGCAACGCCGCGUGCGGGAUGACGGCCUUCGGGUUGUAAACCGCUUUCAGCAGGGGACGAAGCGCAAGUGACGGUACCUGCAGAAGAAGCACCGGCUAACUACGUGCCAGCAGCCGCGGUGAUACGUAGGGUGCGAGCGUUGUCCGGAUUUAUUGGGCG
rnacentral:rRNA from 1 species